AACCAGGACCAAGAGUUGCUACAAUACAUUAUCUAAAGUGUCCAGUUUCCAAGAAAAAUUUAUGAGACAAGCAAAGAAGCAGGAAAGCCCGACUCUUAGACUGGAAAAUGGAGUCAGCAGGAACUGCCCUGUGCCAGUGGCCGUAUGUCGGAUAUAACAAAGCCUAAAAGCAGCCCUGAGGAGGACACUGUCAAAUUCAAAUACAGAGGCAGACACAGCAGAAUUAGUGCUGGAAAGCAUCUGCUCCACCGGGAAUGAUGAAGGCCCCUGGUGGCCUCGGUGGGGACAGUUUCAGUGGUGCAGUAGGAGAAGAAACCAGACGAAGAGAGAAAUGGAGACAGCACAGACUUCCCCUACCAAGAACUCGGAUGAAAAGAAAAGAGAGUAGCUAAGAAAGUGCCUGCUGUGGCCCAGGUUCCUCACCAGGGUCACCCAUGGUGGACAGGUUUCAGCAGAGCUUCCCACCUCUGGAAAAGUUGGUCAUGAAAACCCUAUGAACAGCACCAGAGCAUCGUCUGACAGAGUGCUGGAAGGUGAGAGGAUGGCGCAAAAAGACCGAAAAGGGUCCAGCCCUGGUGUCCACAGGGUUGCUAGGAGUCUGAAUCGACUGACAGCUCCAAAAACAAGAGUGCCAGCUCAACAGAGGUUUGCGUUUGUGUGACUUUGUUUUGCUGUGCUUUUUAGGAUGAGAUAUUUGGGGGCAUAUUCAUAAACUGGGAUAAGGACCCAGGUGGGGGGGGGGGGGGGGAAUGGCAGCCAAAGCAAGGCCGGAAGAGGUGGGAGGACACAGGAGAGAGGCUGGCUUUCACUGGAGGAGGAGAGCCUGGAGGAGGAGAGCCUGGAGGAAUGCAGGCGAAGAUGUGUGGGCAGGAAUAUGUUAGGAGACAAUUCUGGGUGGGUCUGUCGCAUUUCUGCACAGGAGCAGAGGCACUAACUGCCCUUUUGUUCCAG
rnacentral:lncRNA from 1 species